rnacentral:rRNA from 1 species
UGGGGAAUAUUGCACAAUGGGCGCAAGCCUGAUGCAGCCAUGCCGCGUGUAUGAAGAAGGCCUUCGGGUUGUAAAGUACUUUCAGCGAGGAGGAAGGCAUUGUGGUUAAUAACCGCAGUGAUUGACGUUACUCGCAGAAGAAGCACCGGCUAACUCCGUGCCAGCAGCCGCGGUAAUACGGAGGGUGCAAGCGUUAAUCGGAAUUACUGGGCGUAAAGCGCACGCAGGCGGUCUGUCAAGUCGGAUGUGAAAUCCCCGGGCUCAACCUGGGAACUGCAUUGGAAACUGGCAGGCUAGAGUCUUGUAGAGGGGGGUAGAAUUCCAGGUGUAGCGGUGAAAUGCGUAGAGAUCUGGAGGAAUACCGGUGGCGAAGGCGGCCCCCUGGACAAAGACUGACGCUCAGGUGCGAAAGCGUGGGGAGCAAACAGGAUUAGAUACCAUGGUAGUCCACGC